rnacentral:rRNA from 1 species
AACAAACGCUGGCGGCGUGCCUAACACAUGCAAGUCGUACGAGAAAGGGUCCUUCGGGGCCUGAGUAAAGUGGCGCACGGGUGAGUAACGCGUGGAUAAUCCGCCCUUCAGUUGGGAAUAACUCAUCGAAAGGUGGGCUAAUACCGAAUAAUGCUGUGAGACCUCGGUUGAUCAGCCAGAGAGAGCCUCUGCUUGCAAGCCCUCGCUGAAGGAUGAGUCCGCGUACCAUUAGCUAGUUGGUAGGGUAAUGGCCUACCAAGGCGACGAUGGUUAGCUGGUCUGAGAGUAUGAUCAGCCACACUGGAACUGAGACACGGUCCAGACUCCUACGGGAGGCAGCAGUGAGUAAGCUUGCGCAAUGGGGGCAACCCUGACGCAGCAACGCCGCGUGAGUGAGGAAGGUCUUCGGAUCGUAAAGCUCUGUCGGAUGGAAAGAACCGCAUAGGGGUAAACAGCCCCUGUGUCUGACGGUACCAUCAAAGGAAGCACUGGCUAACUCCGUGCCAGCAGCCGCCGUAACAC